GAUGAACGCUGGCGGCGUGCCUAAUACAUGCAAGUCGAGCGAACGGACGAGAAGCUUGCUUCUCUGAUGUUAGCGGCGGACGGGUGAGUAACACGUGGAUAACCUACCUAUAAGACUGGGAUAACUUCGGGAACCCGGAUCUAACACCGGAUAAUAGUUUGAACCGCAUGGUUCAUAAGUGAAAGACGGUCUUGCUGUCACUUAUAGAUGGAUCCGCGCUGCAUUAGCUAGUUGGUAAGGUAACGGCUUACCAAGGCUACGAUGCAUAGCCGACCUGAGAGGGUGAUCGGCCACACUGGAACUGAGACACGGUCCAGACUCCUACGGGAGGCAGCAGUAGGGAAUCUUCCGCAAUGGGCGAAAGCCUGACGGAGCCACGCCGCGUGAGUGAUGAAGGUCUUCGGAUCGUAAAGCUCUGUUAUUAGGGAAGAACAUAUGUGUAAGUAACUGUGCCCAUCUUGACGGUACCUACUCAGAAAGCCACGGCUAACUACGUG
rnacentral:rRNA from 1 species